rnacentral:rRNA from 1 species
GUGAAUACGUUCCCGGGUCUUGUACACACCGCCCGUCACACCACGAGAGUUUGUAACACCCGAAGCCGGUGGAGUAACCAUCUGGAGCUAGCCGUCGAAGUUGGGACAAAUGAUUGGGGGGAAGUCGUAACAAGGUAGCCGUAGGGGCAGGUGCGGCGGGCGCAGCUCCAUUCUAAGG